rnacentral:lncRNA from 1 species
UGAGUCUGCUGAAUGCACCCUAUGACAAUUCGUAUAAGCAAAAAAACUGUGAUUCUGUGAUGAUUUUUGAAGCGGCAUACUAAAUUUUUUGACAGGUGACGAAAAACAUCUACACUACAGAUUCCUGUAAUAUCUUUCAUAAAUAUUGAUUAAAUUCAAAAUACAAAUUUGAUAGGUUAUGUAUUUAGAAUCAUAAAAUAUUUAUAAAAAAGUUUUAUUAAAAAUCAAUACCAUUAACUCGCGAAGUUAAAAAAUGUGGUGUUAUCAUGCCAUAAUUGAUGGAAUUAAUAUGGACUCAUAACUGACAAGAAUAAUAAAAUGGAUAAUUCUCAAAAGUACAUAACAAUAUCUGUAGCAGCAUUUAUUUGUUACUGCAAUACUCUCGGAGGAUCGUUUGUUUUUGAUGACAAUGAAGCUAUUAUAAAAAAUAAAGAUGUGAUGCCACAUACUCCCAUUUUGAAUAUAUUCAAAAAUGAUUUUUGGGGAACAGAUAUUACUUUGAACAGCAGUCAU